UGUGCUUGGAAGACCCGAAUUCGGGGAUCUAGUGGAAGCGCUGUUUGUAUUAUGCUAGAGGGUACUGCAAGAAUGGGACUAGCUGUAGAUUCUUGCAUGGUGGUGGACUUGGAGACUUGGGUUCAGAUGGUGCUCAACUUGUUGGGUCACCAAGCAAGCUUGAUAUGAUGGACCAGUCAUGCCAUGAAGCGCUUCUGAGAUCCAAGACUCCUCAACAGCAAAGACUGGCUGCAGCUUCCCAGCUUAUGGCCUCGGCCAACUCUUUUCCUUACUCAUCUAAGUGCAUGAACUUCCUUCUUCAACAACAACAAACUGAUGCGCAGAGGCUGCAGCAGCCUUGUUGAUGGGUGAUGAUAACAAAUUUAGUCGAUCUCCUCGGUUGGAAAGAAACGAGUUUCCGAUGAUGAAUGGUGGCGCUGGGAUGGUGAACCCAGCCUCAAGGCAGAUAUACUUGACUUUACCAGCUGAUAGCACUUUCAGAGAAGAAGACGUGUCAAAUUACUUCAGCAUUUAUGGAUCUGUUCAAGAUGUGAGAAUUCCAUACCAGCAGAAGAGGAUGUUUGGUUUUGUUACAUUUGUGUACUCAGAUACUGUGAAGCUUAUUUUGGCAAAAGGGAACCCUCAUUUUGUGUGUGAUGCUAGUGCUGGUCAAGCCUUACAAGGAGAAGGGCAAAGUUCAUGACAAGUACAAGCACACUCUUCUCUUCUCAUUUCUUCAACAAGGGGAAAGAGGAGAUUUGUCGCCCUGUGGCACACUUUCAGGCCCUGAGGACCGACAAAAUAAUAAUUUCUAUCUUGGAGCAAGGAUGUUUUACAAUUCUCAAGACAUGUUGUGGAAGAGGAAGCUAGAAGAGCAAGCUGAGCUGUAGCAAGCACUUGAACUUCAAAGCCGAAGGCUAAUGGGUCUGCAGCUUCUUGAUGUCAAGAAGCUUCACCAUUGA